rnacentral:rRNA from 1 species
CAGCUUGCUGCUUCGCUGACGAGUGGCGGACGGGUGAGUAAUGUCUGGGAAACUGCCUGAUGGAGGGGGAUAACUACUGGAAACGGUAGCUAAUACCGCAUAACGUCGCAAGACCAAAGAGGGGGACCUUCGGGCCUCUUGCCAUCGGAUGUGCCCAGAUGGGAUUAGCUAGUAGGUGGGGUAACGGCUCACCUAGGCGACGAUCCCUAGCUGGUCUGAGAGGAUGACCAGCCACACUGGAACUGAGACACGGUCCAGACUCCUACGGGAGGCAGCAGUGGGGAAUAUUGCACAAUGGGCGCAAGCCUGAUGCAGCCAUGCCGCGUGUAUGAAGAAGGCCUUCGGGUUGUAAAGUACUUUCAGCGGGGAGGAAGGCGAUAAGGUUAAUAACCUUGUCGAUUGACGUUACCCGCAGAAGAAGCACCGGCUAACUCCGUGCCAGCAGCCGCGGUAAUACGGAGGGUGCAAGCGUUAAUCGGAAUUACUGGGCGUAAAGCGCACGCAGGCGGUCUGUCAAGUCGGAUGUGAAAUCCCCGGGCUCAACCUGGGAACUGCAUUCGAAACUGGCAGGCUAGAGUCUUGUAGAGG